rnacentral:rRNA from 1 species
UACGGAGGGUGCAAGCGUUAUCCGGAUUCACUGGGUUUAAAGGGUGCGUAGGCGGAUUAGAAAGUCCGUUGUGAAAUCUCUGAGCUUAACUCGGAAAUUGCGGUGGAUACUACUAGUCUUGAAUACUGUGGAGGUUAGCGGAAUAUGUCAUGUAGCGGUGAAAUGCAUAGAUAUGACAUAGAACACCAAUUGCGAAGGCAGCUGGCUACACAGAUAUUGACGCUGAGGCACGAAAGCGUGGGGAUCAAACAGG